UAUGUUUAGUGUUAUUUAUACACAUUAAAAUGGCGAACAUAAUGCCUCUUUUGUUUUUGUGUUUAGUUGCGUCUGCGCUAGCGUCCGGCGAUACAGUUAAAGAUUGUCCCGAAAACGAGGUGUUUGUAGACUGCAAGAUGGCGACGUGCUUUAAGACUUGCCAAGAGCUCAAAAAUAGAGGACCCUGUCCGUCCAUAGCAGCUGGUUGCGUGGAUCCUGGUUGUGUCUGCAUCGGCGACUAUCUCCGAAAUGAUGAAGGCGUUUGUAUAAAAUAUGAAGAAUGCUAAAUAAAGAUCCCGGAUUAACGACAGCGACCAGAAGAAUACAAGUAGCUAAUAAU